rnacentral:rRNA from 1 species
CCUACGGGAGGCAGCAGUGAGGAAUAUUGGUCAAUGGGCGAGAGCCUGAACCAGCCAAGUCGCGUGAAGGAUGACGGCCCUAUGGGUUGUAAACUUCUUUUGUCAGGGAGCAAUUUGGUCCACGUGUUGGCUUAUCGAGAGUACCUGAAGAAAAAGCAUCGGCUAACUCCGUGCCAGCAGCCGCGGUAAUACGGAGGAUGCGAGCGUUAUCCGGAUUUAUUGGGUUUAAAGGGUGCGUAGGCGGAACAUCAAGUCAGCGGUAAAAUUUCGGGGCUCAACCCCGUCGUGCCGUUGAAACUGGGGUGCUUGAGUGGGCGAGAAGUAUGCGGAAUGCGUGGUGUAGCGGUGAAAUGCAUAGAUAUCACGCAGAACUCCGAUUGCGAAGGCGGCAUACCGGCGCCCAACUGACGCUGAGGCACGAAAGCGUGGGUAUCGAACAGGAUUAGAUACCCGAGUAGUC